GAUGAACGCUGGCGGCGUGCCUAAUACAUGCAAGUCGAGCGAACAGACGAGGAGCUUGCUCCUCUGACGUUAGCGGCGGACGGGUGAGUAACACGUGGAUAACCUACCUAUAAGACUGGGAUAACUUCGGGAAACCGGAGCUAAUACCGGAUAAUAUAUUGAACCGCAUGGUUCAAUAGUGAAAGACGGUUUUGCUGUCACUUAUAGAUGGAUCCGCGCCGCAUUAGCUAGUUCGUAAGGUAACGGCUUACCAAGGCAACGAUGCGUAGCCGACCUGAGAGGGUGAUCGGCCACACUGGAACUGAGACACGGUCCAGACUCCUACGGGAGGCAGCAGUAGGGAAUCUUCCGCAAUGGGCGAAAGCCUGACGGAGCAACGCCGCGUGAGUGAUGAAGGUCUUCGGAUCGUAAAACUCUGUUAUUAGGGAAGAACAAAUGUGUAAGUAACUAUGCACGUCUUGACGGUACCUAAUCAGAAAGCCACGGCUAACUACG
rnacentral:rRNA from 1 species